rnacentral:rRNA from 1 species
GUUAGGAAUAUUGGACAAUGGGCGCAAGCCUGAUCCAGCCAUGCCGCGUGAGUGAUGAAGGCCUUCGGGUUGUAAAGCUCUUUAGCCGAUGAUUAUAAUGACUGUAGUCGGAAAAUAAGCCCCGGCUAACUCCGUGCCAGCAGCCGCGGUAAUACGGAGGGGGCUAGCGUUGUUCGGAAUUACUGGGCGUAAAGCGCACGUAGGCGGAUCGGAAAGUUGGGGGUGAAAUCCCAGGGCUCAACCCUGGAACUGCCUUCAAAACUAUCGGUCUGGAGUCCGAGAGAGGUGAGUGGAAUUCCGAGUGUAGAGGUGAAAUUCGUAGAUAUUCGGAGGAACACCAGUGGCGAAGGCGGCUCACUGGCUCGGUACUGACGCUGAGGUGCGAAAGCGUGGGGAGCAAACAGGAUUAGAAACCCGUGUAGUCC